UACGAAGGUCCCAAGCGUUAUCCGGAUUUAUUGGGUUUAAAGGGUGCGUAGGCGGGUUAUUAAGUCAGUGGUGAAAGCCUUCAGCUUAACUGAAGAACUGCCAUUGAUACUGAUGAUCUUGAGUAUGAUUGAGGUGGGCGGAAUGUGUCGUGUAGCGGUGAAAUGCUUAGAUAUGACACAGAACACCGAUUGCGAAGGCAGCUCACUAAGCCAUAACUGACGCUGAUGCACGAAAGCGUGGGGAGCAAACAGG
rnacentral:rRNA from 1 species